CUCUCUCCCUCACACUCCCUCCUUCUCCCUCUCUCAAGCGGCGUAGAAUCCUGGCUGUGUUUAAUUGUCGAGUGGCGAGAUCUAAAGGGAGAGAUCGGGAAUCACAUGGAGCCGCUGCGUCUGUCAGCGCUUUACGAGCCCCAGCCCCGACAGAGGCGCGGAGAGGAGCCGUAGGAAGGAAGUGUUUGGGAGCGGGGAAUUUUUUUUUUAACGCAGUGGAAGGUGUAGACAGAGGUGAAAGACUGUAGGAGAGUUGGAGAAGAAGAAAAAAGGGAAAAGAAAAGAGGCCCACCGUUUGGAGGAAAGGGCAAUAAGCAGAGAAAAAAAGUGGGAAAACAAGAGUUAGAAAAACCAGAGGAAGGAAGGGGGAGGUGAGAGAGAGACGGCAGAACAAAAAAAAAAAAGUUUGGGAAUAGGGAAGUGCAAGAGAGAGAGGGAGACAGUUAUACGCAGAUGAGAAAAGCAGACGCAGGGAAGUGGAUGGAGCAAGAAACUGUUGUUUUUUUAGUUCUUUAGGUCGGGGAAUGCACUCGGAGGAUACAGCGACGGGAUUACGAACGCCUUCCUGCCACUUUUGCCUGCAGCAGGAAUCCAGACGCACUAUUGAGGGAUCAUGUCUGCGCAUGGAGCCCACAGUGGCACCGUUUCCAAAGGAAUUAUGGAUAGACGGAGCACACACGACUGGUGUUUAUCCACCAAAACAAGUUUACACCGAGGAACUACGACAUCCGUGUUACUCCAGAUGGGAUCCUCCAUGUGUGCGAGAAAUACAAAGGGAAUGCGGAUGCAUCCAGAGAUGGUAUUACCCUGAGAUUGCAUAUCCCUACAAUGGUGAUCAUGUUUGGAGAGUUAGAGGUCAGCACUAUUAUGGCCACCUAUCAGAAUUUCAGCAAUGCACAAGACGACGGGUUUCUUUUAGGCAUCCCCAAGAGGAGAGACCUGCGCUCAUCAGACAAUCGCUAUCAAGUCCUGGAAAGCUGCACUGUAACGGGACGACCUCCGAACAAGCGUUUUUUCCCACCGAAGUGCCCUCCAGUAAGUUAAUCCGCUCAGGACCGCAGCGGGACGUAAAAAAGACGUUUCAUGGGGACUCAAAGAGUCUGGAGGGUCGAGGGAAUCAGAGGAAGAGCCAGGGAACCGUACGGGAACAGAUCAAACAAGUGGUCAAUGAGCUGGAGGAAGUGCUGGGUGGUCUCAAACAGGUCCAGUUGGAGAUGAAAGAGGUCGUCCAACAGAUUGACGUUCUGACGUCCAACAUUGACCUCAGUGAAGAGCAACCAACACCAUCCAAUGGACUUCCACAAGAUGCCAUGAGAAGCAGUCAGACAGACGUUGUGGCUUUAAUACAUCAUUCAAAUGGAGAUGAAAACGACACGUCAACAUCCAGUUCCUCUCUCACGCACAGCCCUUCGGAUUUACUCCACAUUAACAGCCCUUCACCAAUGAGAAACCACUCAAACUCGUCCCCUACUAAACAACAUGACAUUAACAUUGAGGAUAAAAGCAGCAAACACAGCUCAGAGACUCAAAGGACUCACAGGACGGCCAACGGAAACUGCGUAGCACAUCGAAUAGCUAAGAAAGUCCAACUGGAAACCCACAAACCCCCUAUAGUCCCAGUGGUGUGCACUAAUAACUCCAAUAAAACCCACCGGCCGCCGCCUUAUCCUCAGAACGGACAGGUGAAAAUGAGGACGCCUCCUUAUCCAGGAAAACAUAAGACGCUGUCGUCCACUGUGGUGUAAGGAUACCAAACUAACUCAAGCUUUACUCAAAGAGGACAACACACUUACUGUCAAACAUCAUGUAUAUACUCACAGAUUCAUGCUCACACACACUUUAACCCAUCAGCGAGUAAAUCAUUGAUGGUGAUGAAACUCAGGGGACUGAUGCCACACAACCCAGCUGACCCAUAGCGGAGGAUGGAGGAAAACCGGGGCUGAUGGGCAGUGACUGUAUUUCCAAUGGAAAACUCCAGAAACAUCUCAAAACACACACAUUCACACACACAUACACCUGCUGAAAACUAGUUUAGAGCAACUUAAACGUUAUGAAAUGACAACCAAAGUUUAUUUACUUAGGAUGUAUUUCUGAUUGAAACAGGAAGUCAAUGAGGGAACGAUUGGUCAAAGGGGGUGGGGUUAUAAAGCAGUAGGUUUAUUUAGAGGCGGAGCAAGUUGUUAUAUUUUGAGGAAAGAUUAUGAAAAUUGAUUUGCAUCACUAGCUGGGUCUCCAUCCAUCUGUUUUUAAAGCUGCAGUAGGUGAUCAGCCAAAAUGCUAUUCGUUACCGUAUGUUCACACCGAAAACGACGAGAGCGUUAAAAUAGCCGGAAGUCGUUCAUUUUCAAUGAGAGUCUUCGGCGAAAAGCGCCGAGGAGCAGCGC